rnacentral:rRNA from 1 species
UACGGAGGGUGCAAGCGUUGCUCGGAAUUAUUGGGCGUAAAGGGCAGGUAGGUGGUCUUAUUUGUCUGGGGUGAAAGCCUUGUGCUUAACACAAGAAGUGCCUCGGAAACGGUGAGACUAGAGUCCUAGAGAGGGUCGUGGAAUUCCCGGUGUAGCGGUGAAAUGCGUAGAGAUCGGGAGGAACACCAGAAGCGAAGGCGGCGACCUGGAUAGGCACUGACACUCAACUGCGAAAGCGUGGGGAGCAAACAGG